AAGGCUGCGGGGUAAACCUACCCAUUCUGGUGUUUUUCUACUGGUUUCCAGGCAUGUACUGUGUACUAGGAGUAAACAAGGACAAAAUGGACUUGAAUUCACUCUUGGAAUUACUUCCAAGUAACAACAACAAAAAAAGGUUUUCUAGUUAAAGGCUUUUCAUGGUUUUUUGAUUUUUUCAAAAAGUAGGGAUUCAACUGAAGUAGUUUUAAAGUAUUUAUUUGAAUGCUCUCUCUCACUACUUUCCAAGCCCCUGCCCCUGCCUAGGAUGUGCUAAUGCUGUGAGUUCACCAGCCAGGAACGGAAUAGGACAAGGGGAAGACCCAGGGUUCAGACCAAAAUUUUAGGGUCACUUAUGAAGUUGCUUGGAAGAGGUCAUCAGAGAGGUAUGAGAACAAGUAGUAAGUGCCUCAAAAGGCAAGAGGAAGAGAGUGGAAAGAAACAGAAAGAACCAUCUGUAAUGGUAGAGAGACCAAGGCUGUACAGUCUUAGGGGCAGUGGCAACGUGAUGGUAUGACUGCCAGAAAAGUGCCACUGCAUCACUGGCACCCUCCAUGGUCCUCUUCCAGGCAGAGAUGAUACAUUAAUUGCAUCCUAACCCAAAUGGUACAAAUGCACAUGGCUACAGACUACUGUACUGAUUUAAUUAAUCUUCAAAGUAAUUAGUGAGUAAAAGAAGGAAGAAUAUAUCUGAAGAACAGAUGUCCAGGAAGGAGUUAGUUUAGUCCCUUAAUUAUGGCUAAGAAGAAAACAUCAGAAAGUUUUAUUAUUGUACAUGAUCUAUUUAUUUACUGGAAAAAAUACUUUAUGAUUCAUUUAAAAUUGCUUUAGAAAGUAAAUGGAAAAAAAGAAAAAUCAAAACGAAAUCCUAGAUAAUGAUUUUUUCAAAAGAUUUUGAUAAAUACACCUUAACAUCUACUAGCUGUCAAAGUCUGCUUUAUUCUCUUUUCUCAAUAUUUUCAAACCUUAGAUUCUGCAAAACAAAGUAACUCAAAUCGUCUAAUGUGACAUUUAAAAUAAUUGUAAAAUGUAGAAAUGUAUUAAUCUAUAAUAUGUGGUUAAGUAUUAUAAUAUAAUGUUAUACUAUAGUAUAAUAUUUGGCUAAAAGUUUUUGGCAAAUAUGCUGUAUUCAUAACUACAUGGGAAGGCUUAAUUACUCAAAGAACCAAGAGAACAACGUUGCCUUGGCUUCAAUAACAGAAUAUUUAGAAAUUUCUAAGACUACUCAAAUGACAUAUUUUUAAUACAGAAAACUAGGAUUUGCUGUCUCAUUUAUUGCCUAUAAACCUUAGAAAUAUUCCUCAAAGACAGCUGAAUAUUAGUUUAUCUUUAAUUACAAGAACCAUUUGCACAUUACAACCACGAAAAUUUGUUGAGCAUACUGAAUAAUCCUAGGUGUACGUAAUUAUGAUUCCUUUAUAAAUACAUGGCCUCAAAUCAACAAGAAUUUUGCUAGCAUUCCACAGAAGUCACUAAAAUAUUGUGAAUCACUGUAAUAUUGAGCAGUGAAUGGUACA
rnacentral:lncRNA from 1 species